rfam:Schistosoma margrebowiei strain Zambia genome assembly, scaffold: SMRZ_scaffold0000014
ACCCAGCUGACGAGUCCCAAAUAGGACGAAACUCGCGUCUUGAAU